rnacentral:lncRNA from 10 species
AAACCGCUGCACGCCUCUGACGCGACAUCUGGACACGGCGCGGCGCUGGCGCUGCCGGAGCUGUCGACCCGGCCUGGCGCCGGACUAGUGUCCCUUUUGAUGAGAAGAAUAAGCCUCAUUCUGAUUCAACAGCAGAGAUCAAAGAAAAGACUUCUGUUUUCUGGCCACCAGAUAUAUGUUAUCUGUGCUUAAAGAAUUGAAAAACACACAUCAAAGGAGAAUUUUCUUGGAAAGAGAGGGUUCAAGCAUCACUGUUAGGUGUGCUGGAAUCCUUUCCCGAGUCAGUACUGCUUUCUAGAAGAAAACCGGGGAGAUCUAUUUGGAAUGUAUCUAACUCCAAAGAAACCAUCAGAGGUAACAGUAGAGACGGGGUUUCACCAUGUUGGCCAGACUGGUCUUGAACUCUCGACCUCGUGAUUCGCCCGCCUCGGCCUCCCAAAGUGCUGGGAUUACAGGUGUGAGACACCACACCCGGCGGAUAGAGAGAAUUUUGACAGGUACCAGAGAUAUAAUAAUGAGAAACAGACAUGCUCCCUCCCCUCAUUGAGGUUACAGCUUAGUGUGGAGACACACAGAUGCCUAACGCACUAUGGUAUGGAAGGUGCUAUGGACACAGUGCUCAAAUCCAUGAUCUACAUAGGUGGAGAACUUCAGUAGAGGAAGUGGCAGGAAUUUGGGAAUGAGGAGCACAGUGAUUAAACUGGGGCCAUUCAUAUGAGAGUUUAAGAACUCAGACCA